UACGGGUAGGGGCAGCGUUGCCGGAAUCAUUGGGCGUAAAGCGCGUGUAGGCGGCUCGGUAAGUCUGCUGUGAAAGUCCAGGGCUCAACCCUGGGAUGCCGGUGGAUACUGUCGAGCUCGAGUCCGGAAGAGGCGAGUGGAAUUCCUGGUGUAGCGGUGAAAUGCGCAGAUAUCAGGAGGAACACCAAUGGCGAAGGCAGCUCGCUGGGACGUGACUGACGCUGAGACGCGAAAGCGUGGGGAGCAAACAGG
rnacentral:rRNA from 1 species